AAUUGUUAACAAAACCUGCUGGCCUCCGAAGAGGUAGCAGAAAACAUAAAAUUGUUAACAAAACCUGCUGGCCUCCGGUAAGGUAGCAGAAAAAGAAAAGAAAAAUCAAAUCAGGGGCAACAAGAGGGUCCCAGGGACCAGACAGUGCUGCUCGCUGAACAAAAUUAAAAAUGUUUAAGAAAAGGCAAGGGAAAACAGUCCCAGAAAAAGAAAUGAAGUCAAAAGUAGCUUCUACCUCACCUUUUAUUAAAGAGAUAAUGCCUUUUAAACAAAUCCUUCAGAGGUAUGGGCACAGUCCUUGGACUGAACAAGCCCUUGCAGAUAUCUGCACCAUUUCGGACCUAGAGGAUAGAUUGGCCCAAUAUAUCCUCAUAUGUAAACCCCCAAAUGCAGCAAAAAGAGACGCUGCAGGGAUCUGGCUGCUGUGAGAGGCUUGUAAUGACAGCUACCUCUGCCUAACAGCCUGUAAAAAGAAAAA